rnacentral:rRNA from 1 species
AGAGUUUGAUCCUGGCUCAGGAUGAACGCUGGCGGCGUGCCUAACACAUGCAAGUCGAACGAAGCACUCCGAUUCCUUCGGGAUGAAGGGUGACUGAGUGGCGGACGGGUGAGUAACGCGUGGGUAACCUGCCUCACACAGGGGGAUAACAGUUGGAAACGACUGCUAAUACCGCAUAAGCGCACAGUACCGCAUGGUACAGUGUGAAAAGUUUUUUCGGUGUCGAGAUGGACCCGCGUCUGAUUAGCUAGUUGGCGGGGUAACGGCCCACCAAGGCGACGAUCAGUAGCCGGCCUGAGAGGGUGGACGGCCACAUUGGGACUGAGACACGGCCCAAACUCCUACGGGAGGCAGCAGUGGGGAAUAUUGCACAAUGGGGGGAACCCUGAUGCAGCGACGCCGCGUGAACGAUGAAGUAUUUCGGUAUGUAAAGUUCUAUCAGCAGGGAAGAAAAUGACGGUACCUGACUAAGAAGCACCGGCUAAAUACGUGCCAGCAGCCGCGGU